GGACCAACGACCACCUUCGGCGACUACACCAUGUACUGGGUGCGCCAGAGCCCCGGGAAGGGGCUGGAAUGGCUCACUGGGAUCACCAACACUGGUGGUUACACCUACUACGCGCCGUCGGUGAAGGGCCGGUUCAGCAUGGCCAGGGACAACGGGCAGAGCUCGGUGACGCUGCAGAUGAACAACCUCAGGGACGAGGAUUCCAACACCUAUUUCUGUGCCAGGAACUUUGCUGGUGUACAUGGUGUAGUCGCCGAAGGUGAAGCUGGAGGGGCGGACGAGGAGCCACAGGGGCUGAACGGGGCAGAGAUUGGGGGUCAAUGGUUGAGAUUUGGGUCAUCAAUCAUGAUACGGGUCAAUGGUUGA